rnacentral:SRP_RNA from 1 species
GGGUAAGUCUUCUACGAUCUGCUCCCUUUUAACUCCCCCAGGACAGGAAUGUAGCAAGGGUACAUCGGUUGUAGCGAUGCGAUAGAAGUCGCUUACCCUU